rnacentral:rRNA from 1 species
AAGGCCCAGACAGCCAGGAUGUUGGCUUAGAAGCAGCCAUCAUUUAAAGAAAGCGUAAUAGCUCACUGGUCGAGUCGGCCUGCGCGGAAGAUGUAACGGGGCUAAACCAUGCACCGAAGCUGCGGCAGCGACACUAUGUGUUGUUGGGUAGGGGAGCGUUCUGUAAGCCUGUGAAGGUGUGCUGUGAGGCAUGCUGGAGGUAUCAGAAGUGCGAAUGCUGACAUAAGUAACGAUAAAGCGGGUGAAAAGCCCGCUCGCCGGAAGACCAAGGGUUCCUGUCCAACGUUAAUCGGGGCAGGGUGAGUCGACCCCUAAGGCGAGGCCGAAAGGCGUAGUCGAUGGGAAACAGGUUAAUAUUCCUGUACUUGGUGUUACUGCGAAGGGGGGACGGAGAAGGCUAUGUUGGCCGGGCGACGGUUGUCCCGGUUUAAGCGUGUAGGCUGGUUUUCCAGGCAAAUCCGGAAAAUCAAGGCUGAGGCGUGAUGACGAGGCACUACGGUGCUGAAGCAACAAAUGCCCUGCUUCCAGGAAAAGCCUCUAAGCAUCAGGUAACAUCAAAUCGUACCCCAAACCGACACAGGUGGUCAGGUAGAGAAUACCAAGGCGCUUGAGAGAACUCGGGUGAAGGAACUAGGCAAAAUGGUGCCGUAACUUCGGGAGAAGGCACGCUGAUAUGUAGGUGAAGUCCCUCGCGGAUGGAGCUGAAAUCAGUCGAAGAUACCAGCUGGCUGCAACUGUUUAUUAAAAACACAGCACUGUGCAAACACGAAAGUGGACGUAUACGGUGUGACGCCUGCCCGGUGCCGGAAGGUUAAUUGAUGGGGUUAGCCGCAAGGCGAAGCUCUUGAUCGAAGCCCCGGUAAACGGCGGCCGUAACUAUAACGGUCCUAAGGUAGCGAAAUUCCUUGUCGGGUAAGUUCCGACCUGCACGAAUGGCGUAAUGAUGGCCAGGCUGUCUCCACCCGAGACUCAGUGAAAUUGAACUCGCUGUGAAGAUGCAGUGUACCCGCGGCAAGACGGAAAGACCCCGUGAACCUUUACUAUAGCUUGACACUGAACAUUGAGCCUUGAUGUGUAGGAUAGGUGGGAGGCUUUGAAGUGUGGACGCCAGUCUGCAUGGAGCCGACCUUGAAAUACCACCCUUUAAUGUUUGAUGUUCUAACGUUGACCCGUAAUCCGGGUUGCGGACAGUGUCUGGUGGGUAGUUUGACUGGGGCGGUCUCCUCCUAAAGAGUAACGGAGGAGCACGAAGGUUGGCUAAUCCUGGUCGGACAUCAGGAGGUUAGUGCAAUGGCAUAAGCCAGCUUGACUGCGAGCGUGACGGCGCGAGCAGGUGCGAAAGCAGGUCAUAGUGAUCCGGUGGUUCUGAAUGGAAGGGCCAUCGCUCAACGGAUAAAAGGUACUCCGGGGAUAACAGGCUGAUACCGCCCAAGAGUUCAUAUCGACGGCGGUGUUUGGCACCUCGAUGUCGGCUCAUCACAUCCUGGGGCUGAAGUAGGUCCCAAGGGUAUGGCUGUUCGCCAUUUAAAGUGGUACGCGAGCUGGGUUUAGAACGUCGUGAGACAGUUCGGUCCCUAUCUGCCGUGGGCGCUGGAGAACUGAGGGGGGCUGCUCCUAGUACGAGAGGACCGGAGUGGACGCAUCACUGGUGUUCGGGUUGUCAUGCCAAUGGCACUGCCCGGUAGCUAAAUGCGGAAGAGAUAAGUGCUGAAAGCAUCUAAGCACGAAACUUGCCCCGAGAUGAGUUCUCCCUGACUCCUUGAGAGUCCUGAAGGAACGUUGAAGACGACGACGUUGAUAGGCCGGGUGUGUAAGCGCAGCGAUGCGUUGAGCUAACCGGUACUAAUGAACCGUGAGGCUUAACCUUACAACGCCGAAGCUGUUUUG